CUGAGACUGAGGCUUUUUGGGCCAGGAGUAAAAGGACUUGGUUUGUACUUGAUUGCGUCCUGUGGAUGCUUGCCUACCAACUGACUCAUCCUGACGUGCCAAAGGUCCUGGCUUUCCCCUGUGUGGGUAAGGGAAGAAGAGAGUUCUAAUGAGAGCGUGGCUGGCAUCGCUUCAUGAUUACAUUCUGGGAAAGAUCUUGCCUGUUAACCUCUAGAGAAGGAGGGACGAUACAGACAAUGAAGACUAUAGCAGACUGAAUUACUCUCUGAGAUGAGGACUUUGCUAUUGCCAUUGCAGAACCACUGGUGGAAGUUGUUGUUAAACAGUGGGUCUUGCAUGCAAGCUCUACAGUUAUGCACAGUAUUUCCAUGACAUCCCAAGCCAUGAGGUUCAUGCUGCCAUAUCCCCCUGUUUAACAAGUGUGGAAACUGAUAAUGGACUCACAAUUGCUGAUGUAUAGGUUCUAAUGUUUUCUAUUGUGGACACGGGACACCCAGACUGAGGUUCGUGGAUUUUUGAAAUUUCUAAUAAUAAGAUAAAUUUGUGACUUAAUUUUGAGUGGAUGAACUUGAUUUGUUGUGGUUAUAUUGUUCAGUUAGUAUGUAAGUAAAUAUACAAAUAAAUGAAAAAGGG
ensembl:processed_transcript Rian RNA imprinted and accumulated in nucleus